UAGGGAAUCUUCGGCAAUGGACGAAAGUCUGACCGAGCAACGCCGCGUGAGUGAAGAAGGUUUUCGGAUCGUAAAACUCUGUUGUUAGAGAAGAACAAGGACGUUAGUAACUGAACGUCCCCUGACGGUAUCUAACCAGAAAGCCACGGCUAACUACGUGCCAGCAGCCGCGGUAAUACGAAGGUGGCAAGCGUUGUCCGGAUUUAUUGGGCGUAAAGCGAGCGCAGGCGGUUUCUUAAGUCUGAUGUGAAAGCCCCCGGCUCAACCGGGGAGGGUCAUUGGAAACUGGGAGAAUUGAGUGCAGAAGAGGAGAGUGGAAUUCCAUGUGUAGCGGUGAAAUGCGUAGAUAUAUGGAGGAACACCAGUGGAGAAGGCGGCUCUCUGGUCUGUAACUGACGCUGAGGCUCGAAAGCGUGGGGAGCAAACAGG
rnacentral:rRNA from 1 species